AAAUACUAAGGGAGGAGAUAGGAUUUUUGCUUCAUGCUUGGUUUAGAAGAGAUCUAGAAGGAGAUUUGGCUAAAUUUGCAUCAAGAUUAAGCUCAAGAGCUUAGAGGGCCACAAUUGGAUAAGGGGAAGGAAAAAGUGAUCGAAUAGCCGUCAAAGCCGUUCGACAACAUCCGAGAUUUUGCUCGGUAGCAAUCGGAUUCGGGAUCAUUAAAGUCGAAGUCAUCUACACUAUCAAAGCCUCCAUUUUGGUAUAAUUUUGGUUGAACUUUGAAAUGGCAUGUAUAGGACUACCCUAAUGUUGAAGGUCAUGUACCUUUCGGUUUUGUGUAAGCUUGGAUAGGCAUGCGAAAAUGGCUUAUAUAUCGUUUUAGUAUGAUUCUAUAAUAGUUUGUAUGAUAAUCAUUAUGGGGUAUGAAA